rnacentral:rRNA from 1 species
AGCGAACGCUGGCGGCAGGCCUAACACAUGCAAGUCGAACGAACUCUUCGGAGUUAGUGGCGGACGGGUGAGUAACACGUGGGAACGUGCCUUUAGGUUCGGAAUAACUCAGGGAAACUUGUGCUAAUACCGAAUGUGCCCUUCGGGGGAAAGAUUUAUCGCCUUUAGAGCGGCCCGCGUCUGAUUAGCUAGUUGGUGAGGUAAAGGCUCACCAAGGCGACGAUCAGUAGCUGGUCUGAGAGGAUGAUCAGCCACAUUGGGACUGAGACACGGCCCAAACUCCUACGGGAGGCAGCAGUGGGGAAUCUUGCGCAAUGGGCGAAAGCCUGACGCAGCCAUGCCGCGUGAAUGAUGAAUGUCUUAGGAUUGUAAAAUUCUUUCACCGGGGACGAUAAUGACGGUACCCGGAGAAGAAGCCCCGGCUAACUUCGUG